rnacentral:RNase_P_RNA from 1 species
UUUUGGGGCCAGAUCGUCGCUCCUAGUUCUUUGAUCCCAAGGCGUGGGUAAUGCCACGCCCGUUGUAACUUCGAGAGGAAAGUCCGGACACCACCGGGCAGGAUUCCCGGCGAGAAACGCUGUCGCGCUGUGUCGGCCGGUCGCAAGACCACCGCGCAAGCACGCUUCUGCUCAAGCCGGGGCACUACGGGCCAUAUCCCGUGGUGACGGAUAGUGUCACAGAAAAUAUACCGCCUGGCGGGCAACCGUCAGGUCAGGGUGAAAAGGUGGGGUAAGAGCCCACCGCGUUCGUCGCGAGACGGGCGGCACGAAAAACCCAAUCCGGUGCAAGGCAAAAUAGGCAGCUGGGCGGCCCGUCCUACAGCUGCGGGUAUGCCGCAUUUCGCUUCGGCGAAAAGGUCGCGCAAGCGACCUAGAGAAAUGACGAUCACGCGCCGCAAGGCGCCACACAGAAUCCGGCUUAUCGGCCCCAAAACCAA